rnacentral:misc_RNA from 1 species
UUUUCCAUGCUUAGCUUUCGUCAUCAUCGAGAGAAAGAGAGUGCAAGUUUUGGGGCCACAAUUUUCCACGGUUUCGGCUUAUCGCACUGCCAGUCCAAACUCUCCGCGACAGUCUCUUGUCGGUCCUCCAGUCAGUCACAGGCCCAGCUCUGCGAACGCGUUAAAGGAGUAACCCCGGUGCCUCUCCGUGAGCACCCAUUCAGGAUGUAUUUCUUUUUUGUUUUGGCCUCGCUGAUGGUUGCCGGUGCGCCAGGGGCGCUGGCAUACCUAUCAGCGGGCUUGAAGGAUCAGCUACUGUCGGACGUGCUGUUGCGUGAGAUAGUGGACCGGAUGGGCAAGGACAUCGCCGAUGCGGCCGACUCGUACAUCGACCCGAUGGAUGAGUUCCCGGGCCGGCUGGCGAUGAUGGCCCGCGCUAGCAAGGACCUGGAGUCGGAACAGCUGGACUACGAUGCGCUGCUGGAGGGUAAUCCGAACCCUUCCCAGCGGGACCAGGAGUUCCUGCAGCACAGCUCGCUGUGGGGUCACCAGUACGUGUCCGGCGGUGCAGGGGAGGGUCCCCAGCGGCCAAAGCCGCAGGUCAAGACCGACGCCAGCUUGCCAGCGUACUGCAACCCGCCGAACCCGUGCCCCGUGGGAUACACCGAGGACCAGGGCUGCACGAUGGACUUUGAGAACACGGCGGCGUUCAGUCGGGAGUACCAGGCGGCUCAGGACUGCAUGUGCGACGGCGAGCACAUGUUCAACUGUCCGGCCCCGCAGCAAAGCGAGUCCGGCUCUGGGCCGAUGGACUCGGAUCUGGAGAACUUUAUCGCGCGUCAGUUCCACACCCAGGAGCACAAGAACCUGGUCGCGAAGAAAUUCCACGUGAAGAAGAGCUCCAACCCAUUCUUGGAAGGUGAGAAGCUCCCGAUCGCGGCCAAGAAGGGCUUCCACGUGAAGUUCUAAGCGGGCAGGACUCACGCAACAGUAGCGGCUCGACAAUCGGAGCUCCCGGAACAUCACCGAUGACGGACACCAGGCGCACCCACAACGGACUACGGCACAAGUACAUCUAGUGGCUAAUGCAAACAUAACUACUACUACUACCAGUAGAAUAGCGAAAGUUUCCCCACACAAACAACAACAACAAAAAAACAAACAAAAUUUCCAGUCUUCUGAACAAUCUUGAGCAUCAUUUUCCCUGCGAAAUUUUCGAAUCUUCGAAUCGAUGAGAACAUGCGGCACCAUGCCGAAGCACUAAUUGUGUGCUAUUUGAAACAAACAAACAAAAUAUUACUCUUUUGUUGGUGUUUAGCAGAGUAAGGAAUUUAUGGUAAGUUUUACUGUUCCAGGAACAACAGCUAAAUAGUGGACGUACUCCAGAAAUAUCUGAUGAUAGAGAUAAUUGUACUAACCGUCUCAUACUUAUUCAGAAUAUUGUUCGAAACACACAACAGCCAUACAGAGAAUAACUGAACUCUUCUAAGGAGAACAAGUCAGAACAAGCAGCAGAAGAACCGUAUAUGAGGAGGCCCCAAAUUCUGCAAAUUUGAGGAGAUUCUACGAACGACUUGGAGCUCGAACGUAUCAGUUCGGGUGGGCUUUCGAGCAGCCCGAAACGUUUCAUUCGAGCACCAAGCUCGGUUCGUAGCACACUCCAAGAAGCGAAAGCUAUCCGCGGUGUUGGAAAGCUUUUAUGCUGGGAAAGUGGUAUGAAACAUGAAAGCUCUCCGUUUGAUAUGAAACGUACACUUUUAGAGACAUAUCAUGGAAAACAUAAAAAGCUUCAUCUAAGAAAUAAUUAAAUGAUGUGUGAGCCGACGAUACCUCUGGCGGACAGGACAGACGCCGUCCCGGAAGUGGUUGACAACUUUUGAACGCUGCCGAAAAGCUCUCGACCCUGCGGGAAAUGGUGCAGUUCUUCCGUUCGGAGCUUAUGUAUAAACGUAACCGGAAACGAACCCGAGGCAACUUCGGUUCGUGCUCCAAAAGUAGUGAGCUGUAAAAUGCUUUAAAAGUAACCUGAAAGCUUAAACUUGAUGAUAUAAAUAUACAAAAUGAGGCAUUUAUUUUAUCACGACACUUGAAUCUAUAUGUAAUGUAUAUGAAACCCCUAAAAAAACAACACAAAUCAUGUUAUUUUUAAACAUUUUAACGCAAUGAAGUGCAACCACACCUUCAUUCGGACACAGAGAACAAAGAGAACAAAACUACGUUUAGACGGCAAAAACUAAAUGCAAUCAAACAGCAAAUUUGGUUGAAACCAACAGAGAAUAACGACCACAACCAAUAAGAACGAGUGUAAAGAAACUUGAACCAAAAAGAAAAAAAAAAAAACAAGUCAACCCAAUCAGACUAGAAAUUUGACUAUAACUUCUUCGCGCGAGUGUGUAUGUUUGGAAGCAAAUUGGCCUUUGGUUCGUGGAAUUCUGGCCACCAAUUUUCCAUCCCGGGGGCGAACCGAACCAAAGGUCAAUCGAAAACGUACAGAAAAUAACAACAACAAAAAAACAUUGACACAAACAAAAGAAAUCAAAGGCUCAGCCAAAGUAAAAGUGUUUUCCAACUAAAAAAAAUAUGGGCUAGAGCAGAUAAAUUUCGAAUGAUAAGAAUUAGAAUAGAGAAAAAAAUACACAGACAAUAUGCAAAAAAAACUUGAGCAAAUGAAAAAAAAUUAAUGACUUAAAAAGCUACAGAUUAAAGUAACACAACAAACUAAUCAUCUUUGGGCUAAAUUUCAACGAUAAAGUUCUGAGUAAUGAAUCUAGCUAAACAGUCUCUAAACUAGUGGAUAACCAAUUCCAGUGGAUAAAAUUGUAAUUGAGAUAACCAGUGCAUUGAUAACAUCUGGAUGAGAGCAUAUUUAUUAAUUAAUAAAAAAAAUCAAAAUACAGUUCGUCAAAGAAAGCAACAACUGCUCUUAAAUCAAGAGAAAUUGAAGUUUAAUAAGAUCAUCUCAAUUAUUUCACAGUUAGUUUAAACUACUAUUAUUUAAGACAAAUUGUUUGGUUCCUUGAAAACACAAAAAAAAAACACAGAUAACAUCAUUGUGUGCAUACGUUAUGAAGACGAUAACCAUUCCAAAAUUAGUACCAUUUAAUGGAAGCAUAUACACAAAUAUAUAUAUUUAUUGAAAUCCUUGUCUCAAAAUUUCAACUAUCAAAUUACACAGAAAAAAAAACAAAACAAACAAAAAUAUAUAUAUUAUAUUCCACAACCAAAACUCUAUGAUCGCAUAGAACAAAAUAAACAAAUCAAUGAGUGUAGUAUUUCUGCAAGGUUGGCGUUUUUCUUUUAAGUUUUCUGGUUUUCCGAAAUAAAGUGUGUUGUACA